rnacentral:rRNA from 1 species
UACAGAGGGUGCGAGCGUUGCUCGGAUUUACUGGGCGUAAAGCGUACGCAGACGGUUAGGAAGGUCGGAUGUGAAAGCCCCGGGCUCAACCCUGGAACUGCAUUCGAAACCCCCUUGCUAGAGUAUGGGAGAGGGAAGCGGAAUUCCUGGUGUAGAGGUGAAAUUCGUAGAUAUCAGGAGGAACACCGGCGGCGAAGGCGGCUUCCUGGCCCAUUACUGACGUUCAGGUACGAAAGCGUGGGUAGCAAACAGG